GCCUUGGUGGCUCUGAGGCGAGAGCGCUCGCCUACGGAUCUGGAGUCGCGGGUUCGAAUCCCGGCCGAGGUG
rnacentral:tRNA from 1 species